UACAUGGGGUGCAAACGUUGCUCGGAAUUACUGGGCGUAAAGCGCGUGUAGGUGGAUUGGUGUGUCAGAUGUGAAAUCCCUGGGCUCAACCCAGGAACUGCACCUGAAACUACCAGUCUUGAGUGGUGGAGAGGGAAGUGGAAUUCCUGGUGUAGAGGUGAAAUUCGUAGAUAUCAGGAGGAACACCAGUGGCGAAGGCGGCUUCCUGGACACCAACUGACGCUGAGACGCGAAAGCGUGGGGAGCAAACAGG
rnacentral:rRNA from 1 species